UUAAGCAUAUCAAUAAGCGGAGGAAAAGAAACUAACAAGGAUUCCCCUAGUAACUGCGAGUGAAGCGGGAAAAGCUCAAAUUUAAAAUCUGGCAGUCUUUGGCUGUCCGAGUUGUAAUCUAGAGAAGUGUUAUCCGUGCUGGACCGUGUACAAGUCUCCUGGAAUGGAGCGUCAUAGAGGGUGAGAAUCCCGUCUUUGACACGGACUGCCAGGACUUUGUGAUGCGCUCUCAAAGAGUCGAGUUGUUUGGGAAUGCAGCUCAAAAUGGGUGGUAAAUUCCAUCUAAAGCUAAAUAUUGGCGAGAGACCGAUAGCGAACAAGUACCGUGAGGGAAAGAUGAAAAGAACUUUGGAAAGAGAGUUAAACAGUACGUGAAAUUGCUGAAAGGGAAACGCUUGAAGUCAGUCACGUUGUCCAGGGAUCAACCUUGCUUUUGCUUGGUGCAUUUUCUGGUUGACGGGUCAGCAUCAAUUUUGACUAUUGGAAAAAGAUUAGGGGAAUGUGGCAUCUUCGGAUGUGUUAUAGCCCUUGGUUGUAUACAAUGGUUGGGAUUGAGGAACUCAGCACGCCGCAAGGCCGGGUUUUUAACCACGUACGUGCUUAGGAUGCUGGCAUAAUGGCUUUAAUCGACCCGUCUUGAAACACGGACCAAGGAGUCUAACAUGCCUGCGAGUGUUUGGGUGGAAAACCCGAGCGCGCAAUGAAAGUGAAAGUUGAGAUCCCUGUCGUGGGGAGCAUCGACGCCCGGACCAGACCUUUUGUGACGGUUCCGCGGUAGAGCAUGUAUGUUGGGACCCGAAAGAUGGUGAACUAUGCCUGAAUAGGGUGAAGCCAGAGGAAACUCUGGUGGAGGCUCGUAGCGAUUCUGACGUGCAAAUCGAUCGUCAAAUUUGGGUAUAGGGGCGAAAGACUAAUCGAACCAUCUAGUAGCUGGUUCCUGCC
rnacentral:rRNA from 1 species